AUAUAUUGAUUAAAGCGGAAGAUUACAUCCUGCAGCUAAAGCUUCCGAAUAAAAAAGAUCAAGUAGAUCCAGCGGAAGAGGAAAGGAAAGAGAGAGUCUUUGGGCCGGGUAAGCUAACUGGGCUUUGGCGGCCCAGUCGGCUACUAGGUUAGCCGAGCGACGGCAGUGUUGCAAAGAGAGGGAAGGAAACUUGGAAAGCCAAAUUAGGGUUUCUUCAACCACUGGACGCUGCUCCCAUGGCGGCAGGCAAAGACCGUUCACGAUUUCAACAAGUUGAAGACAGUCCGUAUGAAGAUCGAUGGGGGUUUGAUGGAGUCCUCGAUGGUAGAGAUGUUGGAGGGACAGAUUCAGCGCGUGGAGCUCCGAUUCGAAAGGUGAGUGUGCUGUGAAAACUUCGGAAAAGAUGUCGAACACCUGUUGCCGGAGGUCGCCAGAGUUGAUCGGGUUGUACAGUAGCAAUACCAGAUGUUGAACUCGAUCGAGGGGGUGCAGCACCUGAAGACCGAUAUGCGAGUACUUGGGCCAUUGCCGAUUCCACGACCAUGGAGGGAUUCGGACAGUGAUUCCGAAAAACAGAGUUGUUUCGUUUCUUCCAAAUCUGCCAAAAGAUGGUCGCAAUUGUCUCGAGCCGGGGAGAAGGAUCAGAUGGGUUUCGUCCAUGGACACUGGAUGAGCAAGUGUUCUAUUGUUUCAGGAUCAGACUGGCAACAUAUUGGGCAGGACGGGUCUUGAACAAUCCGACGGGAGAAGAGAUUAGCACGAGUCGCGAGAGCAUUCUGGCAGACGGACCAGAGGAAAAUGCGGACUCUGGGGGUGAUCUUCAUCAACCAUA